AUUGAACGCUGGCGGCAGGCCUAACACAUGCAAGUCGAACGAGUGGCGGACGGGUGAGUAAUGUCUGGGAAACUGCCUGAUGGAGGGGGAUAGCUACUGGAAACGGUAGCUAAUACCGCAUACCAUCAGAUGUUCCCAGAUGGGAUUAGCUUGUUGGUGGGGUAACGGCUAACCAAGGCGACGAUCCCUAGCUGGUCUGAGAGGAUGACCAGCAAAACUGGAACUGAGACACGGCCCAGAUGCCUACGGUAGGAAGCAGUGGGUAACAUUGCACAAUGGGCGCAAGCCUGAUGCAGCCAGGCCGCGUGUAUGAAGAAGGCCUUCGGGUUGUAAAGUACUUUCAGCGGGGAGGCGUUACCCGCAGAAGAAGCACCGGCUAACUCCGUGCCAGCAGCCGCGGUAAUAC
rnacentral:rRNA from 1 species